rnacentral:rRNA from 1 species
CCUACGGGUGGCAGCAGUGGGGGAUAUUGCACAAUGGGGGGAACCCUGAUGCAGCGACGCCGCGUGGGUGAAGAAGCGCCUCGGCGCGUAAAGCCCUGUCAGCAGGGAAGAAAAUGACGGUACCUGAAGAAGAAGCCCCGGCUAACUACGUGCCAGCAGCCGCGGUAAUACGGAGGAUGCGAGCGUUAUCCGGAUUUAUUGGGUUUAAAGGGUGCGCAGGCGGCGUGUCAAGUCAGCGGUAAAAUGUCGGGGCUCAACCCCGGCCGGCCGUUGAAACUGGCGUGCUCGAGUUGGAGAGAAGUAUGCGGAAUUCGUGGUGUAGCGGUGAAAUGCAUAGAUAUCACGAAGAACCCCGAUUGCGAAGGCAGCAUACCGGCUCCACACUGACGCUGAGGCACGAAAGCGUGGGUAUCGAACAGGAUUAGAUACCCGUGUAGUC